rnacentral:rRNA from 1 species
CCUACGGGGGGCAGCAGUGGGGAAUAUUGCACAAUGGAGGGAACUCUGAUGCAGCGACGCCGCGUGAGUGAAGAAGUAAUUCGUUAUGUAAAGCUCUAUCAGCAGGGAAGAAAGUGACGGUACCUGAAAAAGAAGCUCCGGAUAAUUACGUGCCAGCAGCCGCGGGAAUACGUAUGGAGCAAGCGUUAUCCGGAUUUACUGGGUGUAAAGGGAGAGUAGGUGGCAGAGCAAGUCCGAAGUGAAAGCCCGAAGCUCAACUAUGGGAAUGCUAUAGAAACUGGUCAUCUAGAGUACAGGAGAGGCAAGUGGAAUUCUUGGUGUAGCGGUGAAAUGCGUAGAUAUUAGGAAGAACACCGAUGGCGAAGGCGGCUUGCUAAACUGUAACUGACACUGAGGCUCGAAAGCGUGGGUAGCAAACAGGAUUAGAUACCCGAGUAGUC